rnacentral:rRNA from 1 species
CCUACGGGAGGCAGCAGUCGAGAAUCAUUCACAAUGGGCGAAAGCCUGAUCGUGCGAAGCCGCGUGGGGGAAUGAAGGUCUUCGGAUUGUAAACCCCUGUCAUGUGGGAGCAAAUUAAAAGGAUAGUACCACAAGAGGAAGAGACGGCUAACUCUGUGCCAGCAGCCGCGGUAAUACAGAGGUCUCAAGCGUUGUCCGGAAUCACUGGGCGUAAAGCGUGCGUAGGCGGUUUCGUAAGGCGUGUGUGAAAGGCGCGGGCUCAACCCGCGGACUGCACAUGAUACUGCGAGACUAGAGUAGUGGAGAGGGAACCGGAAUGCGUGGUGUAGCAGUGAAAUGCGUAGAUAUCGAGAGGAACACUCGUGGCGAAGGCGGGUUCCUGGACAAUAACUGACGCUGAGGCACGAAGGCCAGGGGAGCGAAAGGGAUUAGAUACCCCAGUAGUC